rnacentral:rRNA from 1 species
UACGAGGGGGGCGAGCGUUGUUCGGAAUUAUUGGGCGUAAAGGGUGCGUAGGCGGUUUGGUAAGUCUGAUGUGAAAUCUAUGGGCUCAACUCAUAGUCUGCAUCGGAAACUGCCGGGCUUGAGUAUGGGAGAGGUGAGUGGAAUUCCUGGUGUAGCGGUGAAAUGCGUAGAUAUCAGGAGGAACACCUGUGGCGAAAGCGGCUCACUGGACCAUAACUGACGCUGAGGCGCGAAAGCCAGGGGAGCAAACGGG